CUUUCUAGAACGAUAUCCUAUUUGAUUUUUUUUAUCGGAACUGCAUUUUCGCCCAAGGACGAAACACUCCAUUCGAUAACAUAUUUCCUGAUUGCAUAGCAGAAAUCGUUUAUUGAAGGAUGUUUAUUCAUUGGAAUACGAAUCGCCAGUAGCUUUACACACGAACAAUAUAAGCAAUCUAUUUUAAAAUCCAAUAAAAAUUGCACUAUUAAGAUGGAAA